rnacentral:piRNA from 1 species
UGGUGUCAACUAACCAAAGGAAUCUCAC